AGGAUAAACGCUGGCGGCGUGCCUAACACAUGCAAGUCGAACGUCCUACGCAAGUAGGGAGUGGCGGACGGGUGAGUAACACGUGAAUAAUCUACCUCCGAGUGGGGAAUAACUGAGAGAAAUCUUAGCUAAUACCGCAUAACACUUACGAGUCAAAGCAGCAAUGCGCUUGGAGAGGAGUUCGCGGCCGAUUAGUUAGUUGGCGGGGUAAUGGCCCACCAAGACGAUGAUCGGUA
rnacentral:rRNA from 1 species